rnacentral:rRNA from 1 species
UAAACCAUGCACCGAAGCUGCGGCAGCGACACUAUGUGUUGUUGGGUAGGGGAGCGUUCUGUAAGCCUGCGAAGGUGACCUGUGAGGGUUGCUGGAGGUAUCAGAAGUGCGAAUGCUGACAUAAGUAACGAUAAAGCGGGUGAAAAGCCCGCUCGCCGGAAGACCAAGGGUUCCUGUCCAACGUUAAUCGGGGCAGGGUGAGUCGACCCCUAAGGCGAGGCCGAAAGGCGUAGUCGAUGGGAAACAGGUUAAUAUUCCUGUACUUGGUGUUACUGCGAAGGGGGGACGGAGAAGGCUAUGUUAGCCGGGCGACGGUUGUCCCGGUUUAAGCAUGUAGGCUGGUUAUCCAGGCAAAUCCGGAUAAUCAAGGCUGAGGUGUGAUGACGAGGCACUACGGUGCUGAAGUAACAAAUGCCCUGCUUCCAGGAAAAGCCUCUAAGCAUCAGGUAACAUCAAAUCGUACCCCAAACCGACACAGGUGGUCAGGUAGAGAAUACCAAGGCGCUUGAGAGAACUCGGGUGAAGGAACUAGGCAAAAUGGUGCCGUAACUUCGGGAGAAGGCACGCUGGUGUGUAGGUGAAGUCCCUGCGGAUGGAGCUGAGACCAGUCGAAGAUACCAGCUGGCUGCAACUGUUUAUUAAAAACACAGCACUGUGCAAACACGAAAGU